rnacentral:rRNA from 1 species
AGUGAACGCUGGCGGUAGGCCUAACACAUGCAAGUCGAACGGCAGCACAGUAAGAGCUUGCUCUUACGGGUGGCGAGUGGCGGACGGGUGAGGAAUACAUCGGAAUCUACUUUUUCGUGGGGGAUAACGUAGGGAAACUUACGCUAAUACCGCAUACGACCUACGGGUGAAAGCAGGUGAUCUUCGGACCUUGCGCGAUUGACUGAGCCGAUGUCGGAUUAGCUAGUUGGCGGGGUAAAGGCCCACCAAGGCGACGAUCCGUAGCUGGUCUGAGAGGAUGAUCAGCCACACUGGAACUGAGACACGGUCCAGACUCCUGCGGGAGGCAGCAGUGGGGAAUAUUGGACAAUGGGUGCAAGCCUGAUCCAGCCAUACCGCGUGGGUGAAGAAGGCCUUCGGGUUGUAAAGCCCUUUUGUUGGGAAAGAAAAGCAGCGGGUUAAUACCCCGCUGUUCUGACGGUACCCAAAGAAUAAGCACCGGCUAACUUCGUG